ACUUCUUCAACUCUCUCUCCCUCCCUCUCUUUCACGUCCUUAUUCUUCGUCAUCAAAAAUUACCCAUGCCAGAUCGUCAUCGUCAUUUUAUGAAAUCAAUUAGUGAAUGUUCUGUUAAUUAUGUUCUUGUUGAUUUUUUUUUUGUUUCCUUGAUUUUGAAUAAGUUUGCACUAGCAGAUCCGUGAUUGUCAUGGGUUUGAAGAAGAUUUCAAUUAGAUAUUUAUGAUGGGUUUUUACGGUUUUAACUAUGGUUUUAAUUGGAACCACAUAAACCAUAAAAAUCCAUUGUAGAAAACCCUUAAUUGAAAGAUCCUGUUUGGAGGUAUUCCAUGUGGUUUGGAAGUGGAUUUACAUGAAGUUUUCGAUUGAGAAAUGGAUACAACAACAAACAAUAGCAUUUGGGGUUUGCAUGAACUGAGUUCCAUGGGUUUCUUGAGCUGUCAGAAAGUGGUGGUGUCUCAAUUACUCGCAAUGCGAUUUGUCAAGAGCUUGUCACUACGUAUGAUCAAGCCAUGGAUAUGGUUGUGAAUGUUGCUGGAAAUGAUAAAUUAAUCUUGUAUUUGUGUUGUUAAUAUGCUUACAGGGAUAAAGGUUGAGUCGAAUUUUCAUCUUCAAUGAGCAGUUUCUGUUGGCUUAUGUUGCAGACAGGUGGUUCUAAUUGCAUUAUAGAGAAGCUUGAGAAGUGAUUAUUGUCGCAGUUGAUAGUUGAUGCGAGUCAUCGAAACUAGCUGAAAUAGAUUGGGUUGUCGGCGUCCAUUGGUUUAUUAAAGGUCCACUCAUGGGCACUGAUAGAUUUCAGUUGCUAUAUUGGUACCGAGUCAUGAGUCGAGUUCAUACUGAGUCACUGAUGCUACUCUGAUCGAUCCAACUGACUCAGGGCUAGAAGGUCUUUUUACAUUCCCGAUUUAGUGCCACAUGUCAUGUAACGUCCGCUAGCCGUUUUUUCAAAAAAACGGGACGGAAAAGGUCAAGUCAUGGGCAUUUUCUUAAUUUUCAAAAAAACGUGGGCAUUUUCUUAA